AAAAAUCAGCCACGAAAGCUACCAUUUCUCUUCUUCUUCUUCUUAUAGGUUUGUGUGGAUAAAAAUGGGGUUUCGUUUACAUGUCAGGAUAGGUGGAAAAGUGGCUGGCAACCAUUGGAGUGUGCUUCAGAAGGGAUUGAGAUUUCUAGAAAAGUGCAUGAUAUCACAAUUCGCGAUCCUAGUUCAUGGCCAGAAUCGCCUGAACCCUAGUAAAACUGUAAAAGCCCUUUAAUCUCAACUCGAUUAACGGUUUGUGGGAAAAAAGAAAGUUGGGAAAAGCAUUGGCGAUUCUCAGGGGCCAACCAAUACAGCUUGAAAAUCCAUAUCCAUAUAACGUUACCCUUAUCCACCACUCACUGGUACAUGACAAGUAAUGAACCCUACAUAUUUCACCCACCUUGGGAACAUUAGUGUUUCCCUAUUUUGUGAAAAAACCUCAUGGUUGUGUUCUAAAUUGAAUUAAGGGCUUUAGUUUCAUUACCACCAAGCUUGUGAAGCCAUAAAAGCUUGCAUUGAAUGUUGGAGAAUCUUCAUUCAAGCAAGGGGAAUGAUGAUUGAGGCACACUGAAGCCAAGAGCGCAUGUAUGUGAAAAAGAGAGAAGCAGCACAUUGAGCUCGGGUUUUUUAAGAACACACCUUUGACUCACUUGGAUGCAUUGAAAAGUUGUAACUCAUACUCACCAAGCUUGAGGUAGUUGUUGGUGGUAGCAUUGAAGGUCUAAUAAUGGUUGUUGAGGCAUAUUAAUAGCAGAAAGACUGUUUAUUUUGAAUGUGUAUGGUCAACCUUUGGGAGUGACAAGAAUUCCGGAAAAAAAUCCUCUGUUUUCCUCAUCCCUUCAUCCCCUUCCAGCGGCGUCUCUUCUUCUCUGCAACUUCCCUUUCUUCGGAUCAUGGUUGUGAAGCAGCAAACCUCCCCCAUUCUCUUUCAUAGACAAAACCCACAAUAAUCCCUGUUCUGUUCUCUCCUGUUCUGCUCGGUUCUGCAGAUUUCAAACGAGCUAGACACAAUGUGUGUAGAUCGAAUGGCGGCAACUAAAAUGAAGUUAAAGCUUCUGGUUGACAAGAAAAGAAACAAAGUCCUGUUCGCGGAAGCAGGAAAGGAGUUGGUGGAUUUCCUAUUCAGCCUCUUGACCUUGCCUUUAGGCACCACAGCGAGACUCCUAACUCCAACUCAAAUCACGACUGGAUGCAUCGGCAAUCUCUAUUCCAGCGUAGAAAAUCUGGACAACAGUUACAUCCAACCAAACGCCAAUAAGUCCCUGCUUUUGCAGCCCGAGAUUGGUUCUGGCGGAAAUCAAAUGCCAAUGCUACUUUUGCAGAGCAGCGGCAAAGGUAAUGGCAAUGGCAACUCUUCGCAGAGUAAACCGAUCUAUUAUAGGUGUGAUCGGCUUGAUUGUGGGAUGCGUUGUGGGGGUAGUACAUGUUAUGGUGUAGUUACAAAGUCUUGUAGGGAUUAUGUAACCAAUACGCAGGGGGCUUAGUGUGGUUGCUGUGGGAAGAAGAUGAUGUCUCCGAUGUAUUUUGUUGAGGGCCAAGGCUCGACAGGGGCCAAUGGUGGUGGUGGUGGUUCCGCUGUUGGGGAAGGAACAGGGGGUGGAGGGUAUGCGAAGGACGUGGCGACUUACAUGGUUACUGAUGAUUUGGAGGUGAAGCAAAUCUCUGGUAUUGCCAGUUUUAAUAGGUAUGAUUUUAAGGAUUUCGGUGACUUGGAGGAUAAGGCCGUUCAUUUGGGUAUGAAAGAGUCAAAGUCGGUUCUUGCGGAUGUCUUCCUUAACAAGGGAUUUGGACCAUCUUCUUCUUCACCAAUCAAGACUUACCUAACACGUUCAACAAAAAGAAAACUUAGCCCAACAGAGUGACUUGUGUCUUCAGGCAAAUUACUUGUUGACAAGAAUGAAGAAAACGAGGAAAAUCAACUAAAAGGUGGACUUGGUAUGGAGUAAUGGAAAGGUAAUCAGAAUGUUUUUUGAAAGGAACUAUGGACCUGUGCUAACUUUUUGGCCUAGGACUUUAAUACCACUAUGUUUAGAAAUAGAUAACCAUCCAACUUACCCCAAUUUUUGUGUUAAAACUAACAUUAGGCAUUUGGUGGUGCACAAAUCCAUAUAGCCAAUGAGACUAAAAAAAAAUAACAAUCGGUUUAUCUGUCGGAUAUGAUGUAUAUAUAAUGUUACAAUAGUUAAUAUAUCUUUCUCUUAUUUUUAAAAAGAAAAAAAUUUCUCUCUCAGGGCCGGAGAGGAUGAACUAAAUAGAUUAAGGGUACUGGAUUGGUUCCUGGAAGUAGUUACCUGUUGCAGUGAGAAUAAAAAAUAAGCAGUCU